rnacentral:lncRNA from 1 species
CACAAUAUAGGCUGUAGUGGAGAUGUAAUCAUCUUUGUCGCGAGCCCAAUCCGCGUCAGAAUAUGCAUGAAGACAGAGAGGAGAAUCCUUGUGUAUGAUGAGACCCAUAUGCAAAGUUCCUUUAAGGUAGCGGAGAAGACGGUGAAGACUCUGCAUGUGGUUUACCGUGGGUCUUUGCAUAUACUGAGCUAAUUUAUUUACAGAGAAGGCCACGUCCGGACGAGUUAGGCUUAAGUAUUGAAGACUUCCAACCAAAGAGCGAUACUCAGAAGGGUCAGGAAGAGUGGUACCUUCAAUGGAGAGAGGGGGGUGUGUAGCAAGAGGAGUGGCAACUGGUUUGGCAUCCUCCAUAUUGGUCUUGCAUAAAAUGUCAUUAAUAUACCUGCUUUGACUUAGAAAAAU